rnacentral:rRNA from 1 species
AUAAAUUGAUUCUUACUUAUCUAAUUUAUUGUUUAUUUUAGAAAUAUCUAUUAUUUUAGUAUACAAAAGAAAAAAAUUUUUUUGUUAUAGUAUAAUUGUACUGUGAAGGAAUAUGAUGAAAGAUGUUAAAGUUUAAUUUUUUGAAAGUAUGUUUAGUUUACAGUACCUUUUGUAUCAGGGUUAAUCAAAUAUAAAAAAUUAUUUUUAUAUCUCGAUUUUAUAAGAGCUAACAAUAUAUUUCAGUUAAUGUAGUAUAAUUAUUGAUAAUAAUUGUUAGAGGAGAAAUUUUAUACGCUUUUAAGGGUAUCUAGUUUUUUAAGAAUUAAAUUUAAUUUAGCCUCAUUACUUAAAUUUUAUAUUAUUAUAUUAUUUAUUUAUUGAGUUAAAUUUUAUAGGGGAUAAGCUCUAUAUAUAUCUAUAAAGAAUUGUUUAAUUAAUUAAUGUAGGCUUAAGAAUAGCCAUCUUUUAUGAAUAUGUUAUAGUUUAUUUGAUUUAUUAAUUAAUUUUAUAAUUUUUAGUAUUUUAUUAAAAUGUUAGAAUGAACUGUUUAUUUUAAGUAAUAAUGAUUGAAUUAGUAUAUAAGAAUUGUUUAUACAAUUAUUUAUUGGAUAAUAAAAUAAGUAACUCGGCAAAUAUGAUUCUCGCCUGUUUAACAAAAACAUGGCCUUUUGGGAUUAAUAUGAGGUCUGACCUGCCCAGUGAUUAAUUUAACGGCCGCGGUAUUUUGACCGUGCAAAGGUAGCAUAAUCAUUAGUCUUUUAAUAGAGGGCUGGAAUGAAAGGUUUAACGAGGAAUCGACUGUCUCAUUUUAUUUGUAUUAAAAUUUAAUUUUUUAGUCAAAAAGCUAAAAUAUUAUUGGAAGACGAGAAGACCCUAUAGAUCUUUAUAUAUUUAAAAUAUAUUAUUAUUAUAUUAAUGAUUUUUAUUUUUUAUAUAUUUUGUUGGGGUGACAAAAAUAUAAAAUUAACUUUUUUAUUUACAAAACAUUGAUUUAUGAUUAUUAGAUCCAUUAUUAUUGAUUGCUAGAUUAAGUUACCUUAGGGAUAACAGCGUAAUCCUUCUCCAGAGUUCAUAUUUACGGAAGGGCUUGCGACCUCGAUGUUGGAUUAAGAUAAUAAUUAGGUGUAGCCGCUUAAUAUAUAGGUCUGUUCGACCUUUAAACCUUACCA